rnacentral:rRNA from 1 species
GAUGAACGCUGGCGGCGUGCCUAAUACAUGCAAGUCGAGCGAACGGACGAGAAGCUUGCUUCUCUGAUGUUAGCGGCGGACGGGUGAGUAACACGUGGAUAACCUACCUAUAAGACUUGGAUAACUUCGGGAAACCGGAGCUAAUACCGGAUAAUAUUUUGAACCGCAUGGUUCAAAAGUGAAAGACGGUCUUGCUGUCACUUAUAGAUGGAUCCGCGCUGCAUUAGCUAGUUGGUAAGGUAACGGCUUACCAAGGCAACGAUGCAUAGCCUACCUGAGAGGGUGAUCGGCCACACUGGAACUGAGACACGGUCCAGACUCCUACGGGAGGCAGCAGUAGGGAAUCUUCCGCAAUGGGCGAAAGCCUGACGGAGCAACGCCGCGUGAGUGAUGAAGGUCUUCGGAUCGUAAAACUCUGUUAUUAGGGAAGAACAUAUGUGUAAGUAACUGUGCACAUCUUGACGGUACCUAAUCAGAAAGCCACGGCUAACUACGUG